UACAGAGGUCUCAAGCGUUGUUCGGAUUCAUUGGGCGUAAAGGGUGCGUAGGCGGCGCGGUAAGUCGGGUGUGAAAUCUCGGAGCCUAACUCCGAAACUGCAUUCGAUACUGCCGUGCUUGAGGACUGGAGAGGAGACUGGAAUUUACGGUGUAGUGGUGAAAUGCGUAGAUAUCGUAAGGAAGACCAGUGGCGAAGGCGGGUCUCUGGACAGUUCCUGACGCUGAGGCACGAAGGUCAGGGGAGCAAACGGG
rnacentral:rRNA from 1 species